rnacentral:misc_RNA from 1 species
AGCAGCCGCGGUAAUUCCAGCUCCAAUAGCGUAUAUUAAAGUUGUUGCAGUUAAAAAGCUCGUAGUUGAAUUUCGAGAUCAAAUUGUUGGUCGUGCCUUGGUACGCACUGGCAUUAUUGGUUUCUCCCUUCUGACGAACCAUGAUGUCAUUAAUUUGGUGUCUUGGGGAAUCAGGACUGUUACUUUGAAAAAAUUAGAGUGUUUAAAGCAGGCUUACGCUUGAAUACAUUAGCAUGGAAUAAUGAAAUAGGACGUUUGAUUCUAUUUUGUUGGUUUCUAGGAUCGACGUAAUGAUUAAUAGGGAUAGUUGGGGGCAUUAGUAUUCAAUUGUCAGAGGUGAAAUUCUUGGAUUUAUUGAAGACUAACUACUGCGAAAGCAUUUGCCAAGGAUGUUUUCAUUAAUCAAGAACGAAAGUUAGGGGAUCGAAGACGAUCAGAUACCGUCGUAGUCUUAACCAUAAACUAUGCCGACUAGGGAUCGGAUGAUGUUAAUUUUUUUAAUGACUCAUUC